CAGUUGUACAUAAAACAAAAAUAAAUGCAACGUCAAAUAAGAAAAAGUAUAAGCUCAGAGGCUCCCUGUAUUUUUAAACAGCAUUUUAACGAAAACUCAAUACAGCAUUGUUUCAAAUUGUGGGGACAACUUGACACAAUUGGAAAUCUUCCAACACACCUUGCCACGGUGGAUUCGAGAAUGGUUUAAAUUUACAAAUCAGCCCGGCAGAUGACGCUGCAGUCGAUACUUGAAGCAGUUUUAAUUAAAAAUCUUAAAAAGACCGAGAGACAUUAAUACUGGUACCGGUACUGGGAACCAGUCGGAUUUUUUUAAUCAUAAAAUAUAGCGUCUCGCAAGGACGCACUGAUUUGUUUGAGCGAAGGGUCGGUUUCUGUCGCGAAACAAUUAUGCUACUGUGACUCUGACUUAAAGGUGCCGUGAAUAUUCUGCCGUGAAGCAGUAAUGCGUUUCGGUUUGAAGGGUGGGGCAGCCGCUACGCGCUAAAGAUUUUGUUUUUGCCUGGAUGGAUCGACGAGUUCACGGAACUCAUUGCAAAUGAGUUCCGAACUUCAUUGCAAAAAUAGGCAAAGUGGUGCUAUCUAUCUGUUGGAGAUCACAAAACGCCCUACCACCGGUCGCUCCGUAAUAGCUCUUAAAAAUAUUGUUUUAAAAAUACCGACUUACAAGAGAUGGCUUGGAACAAAAUCUCGAUGCAUGACAAACAUCUUGGAAAGACGUUAUAUGCACUUAUUCAAUAAAUACAUGGAAAAAGUUAAUGCUAAGCAUUGGGCGUACUAUCUAACCUAAUCGUCUUCCCAAAACUUGAAACCAAUUAAUAAAUUACAUUUACCAACCA